ACCGCGGUAGCUCAGCUGGUAGAGCAUUUGCCCGGUAAGCGGACGGUCGCCGGUUCGAUUCCGGCUCGCGGCG
rnacentral:tRNA from 1 species